UUAGUAUGUCACCACUGGACAGAAGAAGACAACAAAGCGAUGCCCCAAGGUCGUACACCAGAGGAUGAAAAACAAUAUUGUGGAGAUGUGUUAGGCUAUACGUUUACACAAGGAAACAAUGAAGAGUAUCCAAAAUGUGGGGAAUGCUGGUGUUGUAAGCCAGAAAGUUAAAGUGCAAAGAUAGCUUCUUCGCUCAAAGAGCAACCGUUCUGGACGAAAUAGUCGAUUUAUUUUAUUCAUCAAAGUGUUAAUCGUGCUCUUAAAUAAAUGAUUAAAAUUUA